GUGCUUGCUUCAGCAGCACAUAUACUAAAAUUGGAACGAUACGGAGAAGAUUAGCAUGGCCCCUGAGGAAAGAUGACACGAAAAAAAUAUAUAAAAAAUUUUA